UCAUGGCCCUUACGAGUAGGGCUACACACGUGCUACAAUGGCGUAUACAGAGGGAGGCGAAGCAGCGAUGUGGAGCGAAUCUCACAAAGUACGUCUAAGUCCGGAUUGGAGUCUGCAACUCGACUCCAUGAAGUCGGAAUCGCUAGUAAUCGCGAAUCAGAAUGUUGCGGUGAAUACGUUCCCGGGCCUUGUACACACCGCCCGUCACACCAUGGGAGUGGGUUGUACCAGAAGUAGAUAGCUUAACCGCGAGGGGGGCGUUUACCACGGUAUGAUUCAUGACUGGGGUGAAGUCGUAACAAGGUAACCGUAGGGGAACCUGCGGUUGGAUCACCUCCUUACC
rnacentral:rRNA from 1 species